rnacentral:rRNA from 1 species
CUGAUUACGCCAGCUGCCCUUAGAGUUUGAUCCUGGCUCAGGAUGAACGCUAGCGGCAGGCUUAACACAUGCAAGUCGAGGGGUAUAUGUCUUCGGAUAUAGAGACCGGCGCACGGGUGCGUAACGCGUAUGCAAUCUGCCUUUCACAGAGGGAUAGCCCAGAGAAAUUUGGAUUAAUACCUCAUAGCAUUACGGGAUGGCAUCAUCCUGUAAUUAAAGUCACAACGGUGAAAGAUGAGCAUGCGUCCCAUUAGCUAGUUGGUAAGGUAACGGCUUACCAAGGCAACGAUGGGUAGGGGUCCUGAGAGGGAGAUCCCCCACACUGGUACUGAGACACGGACCAGACUCCUACGGGAGGCAGCAGUGAGGAAUAUUGGUCAAUGGGCGCAAGCCUGAACCAGCCAUGCCGCGUGCAGGAUGACGGUCCUAUGGAUUGUAAACUGCUUUUGCACAGGAAGAAACAGCUCUACGUGUAGAGUCUUGACGGUACUGUGAGAAUAAGGAUCGGCUAACUCCGUGCCAGCAGCCGCGGUAAUACGGAGGAUCCAAGCGUUAUCCGGAAUCAUUGGGUUUAAAGGGUCCGUAGGCGGUCUUGUAAGUCAGUGGUGAAAGCCCAUCGCUCAACGGUGGAACGGCCAUUGAUACUGCUGGACUUGAAUUAUUAGGAAGUAACUAGAAUAUGUAGUGUAGCGGUGAAAUGCUUAGAGAUUACAUGGAAUACCAAUUGCGAAGGCAGGUUACUACUAAUGGAUUGACGCUGAUGGACGAAAGCGUGGGUAGCGAACAGGAUUAGAUACCCUGGUAGUCCACGCCGUAAACGAUGGAUACUAGCUGUUGGAAGCAAUUUCAGUGGCUAAGCGAAAGUGAUAAGUAUCCCACCUGGGGAGUACGUUCGCAAGAAUGAAACUCAAAGGAAUUGACGGGGGCCCGCACAAGCGGUGGAGCAUGUGGUUUAAUUCGAUGAUACGCGAGGAACCUUACCAAGGCUUAAAUGCAGACUGACCGAUUUGGAAACAGAUCUUUCGCAAGACAGUUUACAAGGUGCUGCAUGGUUGUCGUCAGCUCGUGCCGUGAGGUGUCAGGUUAAGUCCUAUAACGAGCGCAACCCCUGUUGUUAGUUGCCAGCGAGUCAUGUCGGGAACUCUAACAAGACUGCCAGUGCAAACUGUGAGGAAGGUGGGGAUGACGUCAAAUCAUCACGGCCCUUACGCCUUGGGCUACACACGUGCUACAAUGGCCGGUACAGAGAGCAGCCACUGGGUGACCAGGAGCGAAUCUAUAAAGCCGGUCACAGUUCGGAUCGGAGUCUGCAACUCGACUCCGUGAAGCUGGAAUCGCUAGUAAUCGGAUAUCAGCCAUGAUCCGGUGAAUACGUUCCCGGGCCUUGUACACACCGCCCGUCAAGCCAUGGAAGCUGGGGGUGCCUGAAGUCGGUGACCGCAAGGAGCUGCCUAGGGUAAAACUGGUAACUAGGGCUAAGUCGUAACAAGGUAGCCGUACCGGAAGGUGCGGCUGGAUCACCUCCUUAAGGGCA